rnacentral:rRNA from 1 species
GACGAACGCUGGCGGCGUGCUUAACACAUGCAAGUCGAACGGAAAGGCCCUGCUUUUGUGGGGUGCUCGAGUGGCGAACGGGUGAGUAACACGUGAGUAACCUGCCCUUGACUUUGGGAUAACUUCAGGAAACUGGGGCUAAUACCGGAUAGGAGCUCCUGCUGCAUGGUGGGGGUUGGAAAGUUUCGGCGGUUGGGGAUGGACUCGCGGCUUAUCAGCUUGUUGGUGGGGUAGUGGCUUACCAAGGCUUUGACGGGUAGCCGGCCUGAGAGGGUGACCGGCCACAUUGGGACUGAGAUACGGCCCAGACUGCUACGGGAGGCAGCAGUGGAGAAUAUUGCACGAUGGGCGGAAGCCGGAUGCAGCAACGCCGCGUGCGGGAUGACGGCCUUCGGGGUGUAAACCGCUUUCGCCUGUGACGAAGCGUGAGUGACGGUAAUGGGUAAAGAAGCACCGGCUAACUACGUG